UACGGAGGAUGCGAGCGUUAUCCGGAUUUAUUGGGUUUAAAGGGUGCGUAGGCGGGAUGCCAAGUCAGCGGUAAAAAUGCGGUGCUCAACGCCGUCGAGCCGUUGAAACUGGCGUUCUUGAGUGGGCGAGAAGUAUGCGGAAUGCGUGGUGUAGCGGUGAAAUGCGUAGAUAUCACGCAGAACUCCGAUUGCGAAGGCAGCGUACCGGCGCCCAACUGACGCUGAAGCACGAAGGCGUGGGUAUCGAACAGG
rnacentral:rRNA from 1 species